GGGGCCGCCCGCAGCAGCAGCAGCGGCAGCGGCGGCGGGCCGAGGCCCCUUCCGAGCGUCCCGGCGCCGUCAGCCCCGCGGCGACGGCCGAACAAUGGCCUGCGGUGGCGAGCCCGCCCGGGCCGCCUCGGAGCGGGCGCACCUGGGUGAUGGGCACCUCCCGAGACUCCCCGGGCCUGCGGGCCUGACAGGCGCGAGGCGGCUCCUUAAUAGACUGCGGGAGUGUUCUCCGGGAGAAGUCUGCGGCGGUCCCCGAGGAGAGAUCAUCAGGCAGAGUGGUCCCCGGAGCAGGAUUUAUUAGCAGACAGGAUGGGGAAGUUGAUUAGCCUCCGCGGCUGAACGGACAUCCUGUCAGACAGGCCUCUUAAUCCAAUCACUUACCUGUCGAGGGGGAGCCUCCCGCCUGCCGCCCGCCGCCCGCGGGGCCCCUGCUAACCUGCCCGCCGCAGAGCGGGAGCUGCGGGCCUCGGGCGUGGGCCCACCGAGGCGACAAACGCGCGAGGCUCGCCGUCUCGCCCUUGCCGGACCUGCUCUCUCAGUCACUGGGUCUUGCUGUCGAGGCAACCUCAAGGUGAGGACGAUGUUUAAAUUUACUUGAAGGUCCUAUGAAGGGGAUGAAAAAUAAGUAACAGAGUGGGAACUUACCUACUAGAAAGAGAACAUGCUAAGUCAAGCCCAAUGAGCCCUACUUGCUGCUCACCUCACCGCCAUGUGGCCUGCGCUUCUAGAAAAUCUCCCGAAACCCAGCUUUUCCUGGAUGUCUUCUUGGCAGAACUCUGGGAGGCAGUGCAAAGACCUAAAAAUGAAUGAAAUACCAUUUUACACCUUGGAGGCCCCCAGUCCAGUCACUCUCAGAGGAACCUUUUCAAUGUUGCCAAAUGGACAUCCAUUCAGCUCCUCUUUCAGCCCACCUCCUCCCGGGACAGCUUAAUCUCUCUGUGGAAAAGGAGGAAAACGACAAACACGCCAACCUCCGAACCUGUUUGCGCAUCUGGGGAAGAUAGAGGCCCCUCUUCCAGGGCUGUGGCAGCUACACCUGGUGAGCUGACACAUCCUAACUGCUCAGCAAAGGUGAUGAUGACUGUUACCACAUCCUGUGCCUGCUUGUCGUUCCUGGGUGUCCCACAGCAUCUCACAGACACCACUUGCUCGUGCAACCAUUGUCCUGAUAUGGUUUGCCUCCUCACUACCAGAGGGGGAGCUCCAUGAGGGCAGGGUUCAUAUUCCAUUCAUCUCUGUCCCCAGCCCUGGUGCCCAGACCAGACCCUGGCAUGGAGCAAAAAUCAAGGAGCAUUUAUUGGCUGGAGGAAGGAGAAAACAAAAGGCAGUUCAUUUUAAAAAUGCAGACCCUGAUGGUUCCCAGAAAUUCCAGUUGAUUCAUGGUUUUUGACUGGAAUUGUAGUUUUCCCUGGAUUCAACAUUCAGCUGAACCCAAGGAGUGCCAAGUAAACACAGGCACAGGUCACCAAAUCUUCAGGCCAUACAAGGAGUGAAAUUCCAGUCUUCGUUUCUUGAAAAUACCUCCAAACUUCCAAGGGAUGCUCUUAAAACCACUUUCCCUUGGCUUUGGAGAUAGGAAGCAGCAGUUCUGCCCCAGGACACCUGAACCUGCAUUUUGCCUAAGCUGGCCACCUGUUUCUGUCUCAGUCUUCUUAUAUUUGUACUGGAGGGAUGAAGGCUGUUCGUCCUUCACUGCCUCAGAGGUGGCAGGAAAGAGCUGGGUGAAGCUGAGAUUGAAAUGCUCUGGAAUUCGUGGUGUCAUGAAGAUACAGCCUGGCUAACUAUCCCGAGACCCAUUUCCUCUUUUUCUUCAGCACACAGGUAGACUGCAUUUCUCAGCCUCUCUUGCAGUUGGGCCUGGCCACAAGACAGAGUUGUGGCCAAUAACAUGUGAGUGAAGAUGUCUCCCAUUUCCAGCCCUGCCCGUGGAAAUCUUCCAAGGCAUGAUACUCCAGAUGCUUAUCUUUUUUGCAGCCUUGAUGCAGACAAACAACUUUGGAGGCUACACAUAAAGAUGGCAGAGCCAAAAGAUACAAGGGACCUCGAUCCCUGAGUCACUUUGUGGAAGGCUGCCUCCCUACCAGGAACACCCACAUUUAACCAUCAUGUAAGUGAAAGGUGUAUGCUUUUGUGUGGAGACAUUUCAGUUAUAGGGUAUGUUUGUUGCAUCAGCUGGCACUGCUUUAUCGGACACACGAGUUCACAGAGCAAAUGAGAAAAUUAGCCUGCAUCCACACUGUCCACACUGUAAGAAUUUCUACGAGUUUCAGGAAUGUAUCUGCCAUGCUCUACAAAGUAUGCACAAUGUUUUAAUUCCACUUCACAGAAAGGUUUUCUUUCCAAACCCUCUUCAGGGGCCUUCCCUAUUAAAAAGUCCCAUUUAUAGAAACUA